rnacentral:rRNA from 1 species
UACGGGGGGGGCAAGCGUUGUUCGGAAUUACUGGGCGUAAAGGGCUCGUAGGCGGCCAACUAAGUCGGACGUGAAAUCCCUCGGCUUAACCGGGGAACUGCGUCCGAUACUGGAUGGCUUGAGUUUGGGAGAGGGAUGCGGAAUUCCAGGUGUAGCGGUGAAAUGCGUAGAUAUCUGGAGGAACACCGGUGGCGAAGGCGGCAUCCUGGACCAACACGUGACGCUGAGGAGCGAAAGCCAGGGGAGCAAACGG